AGCGCAUCCUACACAUGCAAGUCGAACGGCAGCACGGGAGCAAUCCUGGUGGCGAAGUGGCGAACGGGUGAGUAAUAUAUCGGAACGUGCCCAGUCGUGGGGGUUAACGCAGCGAAAGCUGUGCUAAUACCGCAUACGAUCUACGGAUGAAAGCGGGGGAUCGCAAGACCUCGCGCGAUUGGAGCGGCCGAUAUCAGAUUAGUUAGUUGGUGGGGUAAAGGCCCACCAAGGCGACGAUCUGUAGCUGGUCUGAGAGGACGACCAGCCACACUGGAACUGAGACACGGUCCAGACUCCUACGGGAGGCAGCAGUGGGGAAUUUUGGACAAUGGGCGCAAGCCUGAUCCAGCAAUGCCGCGUGCAGGAUGAAGGCCUUCGGGUUGUAAACUGCUUUUGUACGGAACGAAACGGUCCUUUCUAAUACAAGGGGCUAAUGACGGUACCGUAAGAAUAAGCACCGGCUAACUACGUGCCAGCAGCCGCGGUAAUACGUAGGGUGCGAGCGUUAAUCGGAAUUACUGGGCGUAAAGCGUGCGCAGGCGGUUAUGUAAGACAGAUGUGAAAUCCCCGGGCUCAACCUGGGACCUGCAUUUGUGACUGCAUAGCUAGAGUACGGUAGAGGGGGAUGGGAAUUUCCGCGUGUAGCAGUGAAAUGCGUAGAUAUGCGGAGGAACACCGAUGGGCGAAGGCAAUCCCCUGGACCUGUACUGACGCCUCAUGCACGAAAGCGGUGGGGGGAGCAAACAGGAUAGAAUACCUGGUAGUCCCACGCCCUAACCGAUGUCACUGGUGUGGUCUUC
rnacentral:rRNA from 1 species